AGAGUUUGAUUAUGGCUCAGGAUGAACGCUGGCGGCGUGCUUAACACAUGCAAGUCGAACGGAGUUUUAAGACGGUUAGUUACGAGAGUAGUAAAACUUAGUGGCGGACGGGUGAGUAACGCGUGGGUAACCUGCCUCAUACAGGGGGAUAACAGUUAGAAAUGACUGCUAACACCACAUAAUAUAGCGAAACCGCAUGAUUUUUGCUAUCAAAUAUUUAUAGGUAUGAGAUGGGCCCGCGUCUGAUUAGCUAGUUGGUGGGGUAAAAGCCUACCAAGGCGACGAUCAGUAGCCGGCUUGAGAGAGUGACCGGCCACAUUGGGACUGAGACACGGCCCAACUCCUACGGGAGGCAGCAGGUGGGAAUAUUGGACAAUGGGGGAGACCCUGAUCCAGCGAACCGCCGCGUGAGUGAAGAAGUAUUUCGGUAUGUAAAGCUCUAUCAGCAGGGAAGAUAAUGACAGUACCUGACUAAGAAGCCCCGGCUAACUACGUGCCAGCCGCUGC
rnacentral:rRNA from 1 species